AUUGAACGCUGGCGGCAGGCUUAACACAUGCAAGUCGAACGAGUGGCGGACGGGUGAGUAAUGUCUGGGAAACUGCCUGAUGGAGGGGGAUAACUACUGGAAACGGUAGCUAAUACCGCAUACUAUCCGAUGUGCCCAGCUGGGAUUAGCUAGUUGGGGGGGUAACGGCUCACCAAGGGGACGAUACCUAGCGGGUCUGAGAGGAUGACCGGCAACACUGGAACGAGGACACGGUCAAGACUCCUAGGGAGGGCAGCAGUGGGGAUUAUUGCAAAAGGGGCGCAAGCCUGAUGCAGCCAUGCCGCGUGUAGGAAGAAGGCCUUCGGGUUGUAAAGUACUUUCAGCGGGGAGGCGUUACCCGCAGAAGAAGCACCGGCUAACUCCGUGCCAGCAGCCGCGGUAAUU
rnacentral:rRNA from 1 species